UACGUAGGGCGCAAGCGUUGUCCGGAAUUACUGGGCGUAAAGGGCUCGUAGGCGGCCAACUAAGUCGGAUGUGAAAUCCCCAGGCUCAACCUGGGAACUGCAUCCGAUACUGGAUGGCUUGAAUUCGGGAGAGGGAUGCAGAAUUCCAGGUGUAGCGGUGAAAUGCGUAGAUAUCUGGAGGAAUACCGGUGGCGAAGGCGGCAUCCUGGACCGACAUUGACGCUGAGGAGCGAAAGCCAGGGGAGCAAACGGG
rnacentral:rRNA from 1 species